CCUACGGGAGGCAGCAGUAGGGAAUAUUGGGCAAUGGACGCAAGUCUGACCCAGCCAUGCCGCGUGCAGGAAGAAGGCGUUAUGCGUUGUAAACUGCUUUUAUACAGGAAGAAACGACUCUUGCGAGAGGCAUUGACGGUACUGUAUGAAUAAGCACCGGCUAACUCCGUGCCAGCAGCCGCGGUAAUACGGAGGGUGCAAGCGUUGUCCGGAUUUAUUGGGUUUAAAGGGUGCGCAGGUGGUUUAUUAAGUCAGUGGUGAAAGACGGUCGCUCAACGAUUGCAGUGCCAUUGAAACUGGUAGACUUGAGUAAAGUAGAGGUGGGCGGAAUUGAUAGUGUAGCGGUGAAAUGCAUAGAUAUUAUCAAGAACUCCAAUUGCGAAGGCAGCUCACUUAGCUUUUACUGACACUCAUGCACGAAAGUGUGGGUAUCAAACAGGAUUAGAUACCCUGGUAGUCCACACUGUAAACGAUGAUAACUAGGUGUCGGCCGAAUCUGGUCGGUGCCACAGCGAAAGCGUUAAGUUAUCCACCUGGGGAGUACGCCGGCAACGGUGGAACUCGAAAUGAAUUGACGG
rnacentral:rRNA from 1 species